rnacentral:rRNA from 1 species
GCUUACGGCCAUACCAGCCUGGGUACGCCCGAUCUUCUCUGAUCUCGGAAGCUAAGCAGGGUCGGGCAUGGUUAGUACUUUGAUGGGAGACCGCCUGGGAAUACCAGGUGCUGUAAGCA